GCGGGCGUCGUCAUCUCGGCCCUGCAGCCGCGCCAGGAGUCCGCGCUGCACAAAGCUCUGGCGGGCGGCGCGGCCCCGGCCGCCGCUCAGCUCCACCGCGCGUUCCAGAUCCUCCAGGGCGCCUGCGGGACCGACGAGACGGGCGGGGCGGGGGUCAGCGGAGGCCAGGGCGGCCUUGCCCGAGCCCCAGCCCACCUGCGGCCGCGCGGAUCACCGUGGUCCUUGCGGCUCCCGGGCGUGGCCAUUUACAACCCGCUUCGCACCUGCUAGAGAAAAGACCCCGGCCAUGGAUGGGAGACCUAGGACAAAGACGGAAAAGAGUGCUUGGCACCAGACAGCUGCUCAAUGAGGAACACAACUGCAUCAUGGAGAAUCCCCAGCAUCCUCAAACCGUUAACACCUAGAAGAAUCAGAAGCACCAGGGCAGUGAGGAGCGCAGUCAACAGGAAACAGCAUGGUCCUACAGAAAUGCCUAUGCUACAGUCACUCUGCCAGAGGCUGCUCCAGGGUGAAUUAUAGUACAUAUUAGCUCGAAAUUAGCAUCAGAUAGCCAUUAAAAUGAUGCUGAUACAGAUCUAU
rnacentral:antisense_RNA from 1 species